GCCAGGGGUCAGAGCCAGAACAAGGAACCAGAGACCAAGAUGAAGGAGGAAACAGAGUUAUCUAAUCCCUCCUUGGGAGAGCAGGCUGACCUCAUGCAUGCCAUGGCAAUUUUCUACAGUCCUUUCAUUUUGUUUCUUCUUAUUCUUUUAUCAGGCACAUGAAAGAUCUACAGCAAAAAUCAUAUGCAACUUACAUAAAACCUUUUUAGUGAGUCAAAUCUGAAGGUAGAAGCAUCGAUGAUUAAGGAACAGAAAGGAAAGAGCGCAUUUCCUUUUUUUUCUCCUAGA